GGGGAUUUUAAACUCACAGCAACACAAGGGGGCUUGUUGCUUGAGGCUGCAAAACGAAAGUAUGUUGCAGACCAAGACAAGGCGGCUGAAAGCAAGGCAAAGCAUCGUGGCUUAUGGAGCUGAACUCUGAUGGUUAACAAAUCACCGUAAUGAGUGGGAAAGUCUGUACAUUGAUUACUGCAGUUUUAUUCAUCACAUAUAUUAAUGAUGUCCAAUCCGGGUGUAUGCCAAAUGAUGUUAAGAUGCAUCUGGAUGACCUGUUGUUGGAAGAGUACAUGUUUGAGAUUAAGGUGUUCUCACCUGAAACAAAGGGACACAAGCUUCUGUCAGUAGUAAACACCUUAUGUUCAACCUUGAAUAAUAAUAAACUUAAGGACCCAAAUAAAUUAAAAGUGCUAAAAACCUUUAAAAUAAUGCUGGAUUAUCUAGACAAACCAAAUACAAACAUUUGUGCUAUUCUGAACUGCACAGAUGAGUACACAGUACGCCGCAUUGACACUAAAACUUUUGGAGAAAGGACCAGUAUCAGGUAUGGACAUUUAACCUGUCAUCAUUUAUUGCUUUUUCUUUUAGUUCUUGCCCAUCCUUAA
rnacentral:lncRNA from 1 species